CCGAAUUACCCAAUCUGAUUUCACCAAAAGCUUCUUCCUCAUAGUGAUCGGUGGUCGCCGGAGCCGUACAACUGUAAAAUUCACGAUUCGCUGGGACGAAUCACCGAGACAAGGAGGAGUCUCCGACGAGACGAGGAUUUUGGAACAAACUAAACGUGUUUGCUCCAUGGUUGCCUCCUUGGUUUCUCUGUUUAAUGGGCUUUGAGCCUUGAGGAAUGAUAUGUUAAUGCUUUCAGGCAACGUUUAUAGUCAUGCAUGCUCUUCUUUGUAAUGCGACCUGAAGUUGACGGGAGAGCUCAUUCGCGUGCAAUAUAUUGGCUAGUUUCGAUUGUCCAUAAGCUCUUUUAUCCGAGUAACUGAAAGAAG